rnacentral:ncRNA from 2 species
UAAUAGUCACCUCUUGCUCUAUUAUACUUUCCCAGCUGAUCAAACACUGCACUUAACAGCUCUUCCCUCUGCAGAGAGGUUUUCUACUAUUCAAUAAUACAGAUUUUGCCUUUCUUUCAGAUGACACCCCCAACCAUGGUUGUGAAGAUGCUAGCGACACAUCGCUGUUGGGAGUUCUUCCUGCCUCUGAAGCCACAAAAUGACUUUAGACUUCCAGGGCUCACCAGAUCAACCUCUAAAUAUCUUUGAAGGAGACAACAACUUUUAAAUGAAUAAAGAGGAAGUCAAGUUGCCCUAUGGAAAACUUGUCCAAAUAACAUUUCUUGAACAAUAGGAGAACAGCUAAAUUGAUAAAGACUGGUGAUAAUAAAAAUUGAAUUAUGUAUAUCACUGUUAAA